GACUGUUGACCUGCCGGUGAGGAGAAAGGCACUACAGAGGGACCUGGAUCGAUGAACCAAGGUAAACUGUGAGUUUCAGUAGGGCCAAGUGUCAGGUCCUGCAUUUUGGCCACAACAACUCCAGAGAGAGAAUUACUCUUCAUGCUUUUGGAAAAGGGACAGAGACUGCAAAGCUGUAGGACAGGGAGCCCUGCAGCAGUCAGUGCCACAGGUAGGGCAGGAGCUGCAGUGGCCCAUGGGAGGGGAACAGGAAGAUCCUCCGUGACGGGACAUGAGCAGAUGCACAAGCAAGGCCUUGGCAGUGGGGCUGCACCCAGCCAAUUCCCACCGGGCACGGCCUUGUCACCAGCAUGGCACUGUGCAAACCUGGGAACCACAGGAAGGGCUUGGAGGAACUCCUGGCAACGGGAGGCAUGUUUCCAGGGCCUCCUGAGCAGGAUGACAUCAGAAGUGCUCCUUUCAACCAUGGAAACCAAAGGCAAUCAACAAGUGCUCAGCCACAUAUUCACAGACUCUGGAAGGAAAAAGCACUCCUCCCACUGCUGUGCUAUAGGGCCCUUCUCCCCCUCCUUCUCAUCAUCUCCUGCCUGGCUUCCCUUGGAGAUGGGAGAAAGGCAAUGGCUGUGAUCUUCAUGCUCACAUGGCCUAAUAAGUACCAUCAAGCACCAACUCAAGAACAACUCAUUGCUUUCUUUAUUACACGGAUGGUGGAAGGCAGCACCCCCACUCUAGGCAGCACCAACCCUUCUACGUCACAGCCACAUCACCAUGGGCAGCCAGCAGCUCCAGGAACCACCCUUCAGCUGUCACAGCUAUGUCACAAGAGCACAACAGUGGUGAUGGCUGUGUUCCUCCAGACCACACAUGGGGACAGCGAUACAGAAUUGGAGUGGUUCUUUCCACAAAUGUCUGCGGAAAUGGCUGGCAGAGCAGCAACCCGGUGAGCAGGGCAAUGCUGGGGAGGGCAGCACAGGCAACCAGGGCACGUGGCUGCUUCUUCCUUCCUUCCCAUCUGCCUUGCAGAUGGGCACCCAAAUGAAGAUGGAGCCAGGGCAGGAUACACGUCUAUCCUCAUCUCACUAAAUGGUCUCCAUGCUGCCAUAAGGAAAAGAGACCUGGCCCCACGGCAGGUGCUGGCACCAGACCUAUUGAUUGCAAUGGCACUUUCAAAACACGGCCAUGGAAAUGGCUGGCAGAGCAGCAACCCGGUGAGCAGGGCAAUGCUGGGGAGGGCAGCAUAGGCAACCAGGGCACGUGGCUGCUUCUUCCUUGCUUCCCAUCUGCCUUGCAGAUGGGCACCCAAAUGAAGAUGGAGCCAGGGCAGGAUACACGUCUAUCCUCAUCUCACUAAAUGGUCUCCAUGCUGCCAUAAGGAAAAGAGACCUGGCCCCACGGCAGGUGCUGGCACCAGACCUAUUGAUUGCAAUGGC